rnacentral:tRNA from 1 species
GACCGCGUAGUUCAGUUGGCAGAGCAUUGGGCUAGUAUUCCAAAGGUCGUAGGUUCGACUCCCAUCGUGGCCA